rnacentral:rRNA from 1 species
UACAGAGGGUGCGAGCGUUAAUCGGAAUUACUGGGCGUAAAGGGUGCGUAGGUGGUUACGUAAGUUAGGUGUGAAAGUCCUGGGCUUAACCUGGGGAUUGCGCCUGAUACUGUGUGGCUAGAGUACUGUAGAGGAAAGUGGAAUUUCCGGUGUAGCGGUGAAAUGCGUAGAUAUCGGAAGGAACAUCGGUGGCGAAGGCGACUUUCUGGACAGCUACUGACACUGAGGCACGAAAGCAUGGGGAGCAAAC